AAUCAACGCUGGCGGCGUGCCUAACACAUGCAAGUCGAACGAGAAAGUGGAGCGAUCCAUGAGUAAAGUGGCGCACGGGUGAGUAACACGUGACUAACCUACCCUUGAGUGGGGGAUAACCUAGGGAAACCUGGGCUAAUACCGCAUAAUACCUACGGGUCAAAGGAGCAAUUCGCUUUAGGAGGGGGUCGCGGCAGAUUAGUUAGUUGGCGGGGUAAGUGGCCCACCAAGACGAUGANCUGUAUCCGGCCUGAGAGGGCGCACGGACACACUGGAACUGAAACACGGUCCAGACUCCUACGGGAGGCAGCAGUGGGGAAGUUUUGCGCAAUGGGGGAAACCCGUGACGCAGCAACGCCGCGUGGAGGAUGAAGACCCUUGGGUCGUAAACUCCUUUCGAUCGGGACGAUAAUGACGGUACCGGAAGAAGAAGCCCCGGCUAACUUCGUGCCAGCAGCCGCAGUAAU
rnacentral:rRNA from 1 species